AUUGAACGCUGGCGGCAUGCCUUACACAUGCAAGUCGAACGGUAACGCGGGGCAACCUGGCGACGAGUGGCGAACGGGUGAGUAAUGCAUCGGAACGUGCCCAGUAGUGGGGGAUAACUGCUCGAAAGAGCAGCUAAUACCGCAUACGACCUGAGGGUGAAAGCGGGGGAGCGCAAGACCUCGCGCUAUUGGAGCGGCGUAUGUCAGAUUAGGUAGUUGGUGGGGUAAAGGCCCACCAAGCCAACGAUCUGUAGCUGGUCUGAGAGGACGACCAGCCACACUGGGACUGAGACACGGCCCAGACUCCUACGGGAGGCAGCAGUGGGGAAUUUUGGACAAUGGACGCAAGUCUGAUCCAGCCAUGCCGCGUGCGGGAAGAAGGCCUUCGGGUUGUAAACCGCUUUUGUCAGGGAAGAAACGCUCUGGGUUAAUACCUCGGGGUAAUGACGGUACCUGAAGAAUAAGCACCGGCUAACUACGUGCCAGCCGCCGCCGUAGAAC
rnacentral:rRNA from 1 species